rnacentral:tRNA from 1 species
GUGGCCGUAGCUCAAUUGGCAGAGCACCUGGCUGUGGCCCAGGUGGUUGCGCGUUCGAGUCGCGUCGGCCACCCUA